rnacentral:rRNA from 1 species
CAGUCGCCGCGGUAAUACGAAGGGGGCUAGCGUUGUUCGGAAUUACUGGGCGUAAAGCGCACGUAGGCGGAUAUUUAAGUCAGGGGUGAAAUCCCAGAGCUCAACUCUGGAACUGCCUUUGAUACUGGGUAUCUUGAGUAUGGAAGAGGUGAGUGGAAUUCCGAGUGUAGAGGUGAAAUUCGUAGAUAAUCGGAGGAACACCAGUGGCGAAGGCGGCUCACUGGUCCAUUACUGACGCUGAGGUGCGAAAGCGUGGGGAGCAAACAGGAUUAGAUACCCGCGUAGUCCCUGUCUCUUAUAC